rnacentral:lncRNA from 10 species
AUUACUUUCAUUGCAGAAACUACAUAGAGGACAUGUCAAAGCUGAGAGUGGCUGGAGGGCUUCUAAUAAUGCCAGAAUGUCCUCAGAAAUAGUCUGCAGUGCUGAUAAUCAGUUGCAGAAGAAAAAUACUUGAGGCAUCUGCCCUAGGUACUACCCUGGCCCCGUUGAUGUUCCUCAAACUGCUGAGCAUUGUGUCCCUGUGAGCCCCUCUACGUUAUUUUACCUCUGACUGGAACACACCUCCAUCAUUUUUCCCUCACUUCCUGCAAGUUGCUGUCUAAAGGUGACUGUUCCACAUUUUUGUUAUGAUAGAGGGUCCUUAUUGGUACCAUGUGAGAAAUUACCUUGAUGCCCUGGUAGGCUCCAAGUAUAGUCCCAUGCAAGCUCUCCCAGAGGACACAGCACAAAUAGGUUUGCAGACUAUGCAGUGAAAUGCUCAAAUCACAGCUUCAUUAAAAAACAUAGCAAGCAGCAAGGGGAAAAAGAAGAGCAAGUUAAUGGUUUAGUGUGUAAGUGAAUUGGAAGAACCACACUAUCUGACUCAAGUGUGAGCAGUUUCCGUAUAUCUGAUCUCUUUUACAUCGCUCAAUCAGCCUGUAGGAUAGACACAGAGAUAUAUAUGCCUGGACCCAACCAAUUAGUUGGUUGAAUAGCCAUGGAUUUUAUUUUUGUUCCUAAAGUAGAGAACUUAUGGUGUCUCCAAUUUGUGGCUGACUCAAGGCCUCAUGAAUAAUGAGUCAGUGCUUCGAUGUCUCAUAUAUCUGUGAAUUCUGAAUGUGUGGCUCCUUUUGUAUAUUUUGUGCAUCAGGAACAUUAGGUAUCUUUUGACCCU